AUUGAACGCUGGCGGCAUGCCUAACACAUGCAAGUCGAACGGGAUCCUGGUUUCGGCCAGGUGAGAGUGGCGGACGGGUGAGUAACACGUGGGAAUCUGCCUUUUGGUUCGGGAUAACCGCGGGAAACUGCGGCUAAUACCGCAUAAGCCUGUGAGGGGAAAGUCGAAAGACGCUGAGAGAGGAGCCCGCGGCCGAUUAGCUAGUUGGUGGGGUAAAGGCUCACCAAGGCAAAGAUCGGUAGCCGGCCUGAGAGGGCACACGGCCACACUGGCACUGAAACACGGGCCAGACUCCUACGGGAGGCAGCAGUGGGGAAUCUUGCACAAUGGGGGAAACCCUGAUGCAGCGACGCCGCGUGCACGAAGAAGGCCCUCGGGUUGUAAAGUGCUUUUGGCAGGGAACAAUAUUAUGAGCGUACCUGCAGAAUAAGUGGUUGCUAACUCUGUG
rnacentral:rRNA from 1 species